AUGGAGAUGAUACGCCUCGGCAGCGGCAAGGUCGAGGACUAUCCGUUCGUGAGGCGGCUCCGCAACCGGCGGCUCCUCACCUACCUCUGGCUCCAGGGCUUCGACGCCGCCUACGACAGCGUCGUGCAUGAGACGGAUGUGCGGCAGAUGAGCAGGCUGCAUCUGCGGCAGCUGGUGGUCUGGGGCCAGUUGAGAGAGGCCGUCAAGUACAUGACGCGCUUCCUGCCGCCGGCCCUCGACCGGGGCGUCGAGACCCGUUCCCUCCUCGUCUUCCUCCACGCGCUCUGGUCGCUGGCCAACGUCGCCGCGUGCUCGGCGGGCGGCCUCGUGAACGGCACCGUGCACCGCCACCUCGAACUCCUGACGAGCAUGUCCAGUCACAACGCCAAGCUCAACUCCAUCCUCCAAUACACACUCCACUCGCCGCAAUUCAGGGCGUCCCUGGACUGGAUACUGGUGAGGGAGAAGGCAUCGUGGGUUGCCGAUGACUUGGCUCUCCAGACUCCUGAGUUGAGACGCAAGUUGCAAUUGCCCGGCGGCCCAGGUCGCCCGCAGGACUUGCUUCCCAUCGGCCCACUUCGUCCAAGGCGCCACCGGAGGGGACAAUUCCGGCGGCCAAAGCCAGAGGCAAUUGCCAAGGGCUAUCUCAACUGGAAGAGGAGCGUGCACUCUGCAAACCCACUUUAUGGAUUGCCCGAGGAUGCACUCGGCCGGGCAGCAGAUCUUAUUGAGUGUUUAAAAGCUGGUAAACUUCCGGUGCUCCAUCAAGGGAACCCACUUCAAUCAGAUGCAAAGGAAGAUUGGAAAAACACUGGGACCUCAUCAGUCUCAAAUGCAGGUGCUCCAGUUUUCAUAGGUGAUGCUAAUUGUCCUUGGUGCUCAUCAGCUGCAAAAUCAGUUGCUGCAGUCUCACAGCCCAUUAAAAUCCCUUGGAUCGCAUCUGCCACAAAUGGAGAGCUCCGGCCUGCUACGGCGAAAGAAGAGAAGAUCGUCAGGGUUCCGUUGGAAGAAAGAAUCCAGGAGAAGAUUUGA
rnacentral:rRNA from 1 species